CAGAUAAACCAUAGGGAAGUCACUGUGCUGCAGGUACAGCACUGGCUGCGUGUGGUACCCAGCCAGGAGCUGGGAUCCAGGUUGUGUGCCCCAUCCCAGCCAGGAGCUGGGAUCCAGGUUGUGUGCCCCAUCCCAGCCAGGGGUGAGAUCCAGGCUGUGUGCCCCAUCCCAGCCAGGGAGAUGGGAAAAGGGCUGUAAAAGCCACAUAGGAAACUUGCUCAUCCCAUUGUUCUGCUGCAGUGAACCAAGGAGCUGGUGUUUCACUGAC